UCUACCAACAUCAGCCGCCUUGAUGUUGAGAUUCUCCAUUUAGAUCAAUAUUUGAUAGUAAAAUCAACCAGACUCUUAAAGCUGGAUGGUAAUUAUACAUAUUGUAGACUCAUAGCUGCAGCUGAGGAUUAGUGAGUGUUAAUGAAGCAGCAAAGUGGCUGAGCUCACUUUAAAUAGGUGUUCAGUGAAUAAGUGUGUCAGUGCAUUUGAACAUUUCUAAUUAGCACAGUUACACUGAAUACAUUAUCAACUGCUCAUCAAUGUGUCCCUACAUGAGUUAUUUCAAUUACCAACAGUAACUACAGCCCCAAUGAGAGAGCACCACUGCUCAUGCACCACUUCAAAUCUUUAACAAUCUGUUCCAGAUCUUAUCUUUGCUUUUUUUGAACAUGUAAACAAAAAUCAUCACUCAUAGAAUAAUAACACAGUUUAAGACUGAACCUUUAACUGUGUUUUUUCUGCUGACUGUUAACGUGUCGCGUGUUUGUGUUCGUGUUCGUGUUCGAGUCUCUCUCACCCGGAUCUUGUCCAGCUCCCCUCGGGUGGCCGUCUGCUGUUUCUCCAGCCGCUCGCUCAGCUGGGAGCAGAUCUAUAGGAUGAGAGACAGGGUUCAGCUCCGUGCGCUCAUGCUGCUGCGUCAAUCGAGCCAGGACUCGACUGCAGCUACAGCACAGGGACAUGUUGGAACCACAACACAACAGGAAUCACACUGAAGCCUUCCCACCAUCUGUAACGCUGUGUGGGCUGCGACGUUCAAACCUCUGCUUUAGACGGUGGGGCUCAGGACGAGCUGGGUCCCUUCUGAGCGCUAACCUGUGCAGAUUCCUCCUCCAGCCGUCUCUUCUCGUCCUCAGACUCCACCAGCUUCUGUUUGGUCAGGAGCAACUCCUUAUUCAGAGCAUCGGCCUUCUCCUCCGCCUGAGAGAGAGAGAGACAGAGAGAGAGAAAGAGAGAGAGAGAAACACAGAGAGAGAGAGAGAGAGAGAGAGAGAGAGAGAUGACCCAAUGUUUAUGAGGCCAUCAAAGGUGAGACUCGCCCUACUUUCUUUUUACUUUCUCAUUUUCUACCUUUUUAGAUACAGUUUUAGAUACAGUAAGUCAUGGAAGUCUGCCUUCACACACAUUUAUUACAGUCUGUGCAAUUAGAUGUACACACAUCGUGCUACUCUUUACCUGCACAGCUGUCACAUAAACUUGCCCACCACACAGACCCGACCACUCUCAUGACACACGCUUUCUCUUACAUUGUCCAGGUCUUUGCGCAGCGCUAUCUUGCUGCUAACCAGCUCGUGGGCCAGGUCGUCGUUCUCCUGCUCCAGGCGCAUGUUGGUCUCCUGCAGACGACGGUUCUCCCGCUGGAAAGAGAACGACAGAAGGAAAAGGAGGACGCGAGCGGGGGAGGAAAAAAAAGAGGACAAUGACCGGACAAAGACAAAAUGGAAGAUCCGAGCAAAGAGAAGUGAAAUGGGCCUCCUGCUGCUCCUGCUGCUCUCUGAUGACGUGGUACUCCUUCUCAAACUUCUUCAGCUUCUUCUGGCUAAUCUGUUGGACAGUGGGAGAAGAAACACAAAGGCUCAGUAACGCUGCACGUGUGGCUGCACCUGCUCACGUGUGCUGAUGUGUAAAAUCUUUCCAAGGCUUAACUUCCUGCUGGCACAUGCUGUUUGUUUCUGCUUCUUCUCAGAGUGGGGUUCACACUGUGGAGCUCUGUGUGUGUGUGUGUGUGUGUGUGUGUGUGUGUGUGUGUGUGUGUGUGUGUGUGUGUGUGUGUGUGUGUGUGUGUGUGUGUGUGUGUGUGUGUGUGUACACGUUUACCUUCAGCAAAGCCAAGGCUACAUUGAAGAUCACACUGAUGCCCUGGAAAUCAAGAAAGAGACCUUGUUACCAAUUAAAAUUAGUGAGAAAUAUGUAAACUAACUGCAGCUGGUGUGUGCUGCCCGACUAUGUUUAUGGAAGGGGGCGUCCCAUUAGGACUUAGGACCAGCCAACAUAGACAUUCACAGAUGCACUGGUUGUCUGGACUCGGCCCACCUUGCUCUGUAGUUAAAGGUCAAUCUUCAUCUUAGUCUGUGGGUAUUUACGAUCAGCACAAGUCUGUGAAUAAAAUCUAAAUUUGGAACCUUCUCCCAAUUCCUGCUGUGAUGCCAGAUGCACCGUGCAUCACAAGUGCAAUGGCAUUACUAUGGUGACUAAUGGUACGUAAUUUACACCAGAUUUAGAGCCUUGUCUGUGUCUGAUAUUGUACAGUAUAUAGAGCAAAACUUAAUAAACAAAGUCAGUUAAAUCAAUUUAUUAAAUUGUAAGAAAUUAUAUAAAUUCCAAAAGCAAAUGUGAAAA